rnacentral:rRNA from 1 species
CUAGCGGCAGGCUUAAUACAUGCAAGUCGUAGGGCAUCCGAAGUAGCAAUACUUUGGUGAGAGUGGCGCACGGGUGCGUAACACGUAUGCAACCUACCUAUAACCGGGACAUAACCUCGAGAAAUUGAAGCUAAUAUCCCAUAACACUGCACUAAGGCAUCUUAGAGCAGUUAAAACUCCGGUGGUUAUAGAUGGGCAUGCGCGACAUUAGCUAGUUGGUGUGGUAACGGCUCACCAAGGCUACGAUGUCUAGGGGUUCUGAGAGGAUUAUCCCCCACACUGGUACUGAGACACGGACCAGACUCCUACGGGAGGCAGCAGUAAGGAAUAUUGGUCAAUGGGCGCAAGCCUGAACCAGCCAUGCCGCGUGAAGGAUGAAGGCCCUAUGGGUUGUAAACUUCUUUUGUACGGGAAAAAACCACCGGUCGUGUAUCGGUGCUGAUGGUACCGUAAGAAUAAGCAUCGGCUAACUCCGUGCCAGCAGCCGCGGUAAUACGGAGGAUGCAAGCGUUAUCCGGAUUCAUUGGGUUUAAAGGGUGCGCAGGCGGAA